UACGUAGGGUGCAAGCGUUGUCCGGAAUUAUUGGGCGUAAAGCGCACGUAGGCGGCUUAGUAAGUUGGAUGUGAAAUCCCUCGGCUUAACCAAGGAAGUGCAUCCAAAACUACUGAGCUUGAGUACUAAAGAGGAUCGCGGAAUUCCCGGUGUAGAGGUGAAAUUCGUAGAUAUCGGGAGGAACACCAGUGGCGAAGGCGGCGAUCUGGGUAGAUACUGACGCUGAGGUGCGAAAGCGUGGGGAGCAAACAGG
rnacentral:rRNA from 1 species